rnacentral:rRNA from 1 species
CAGCAGCCGCGGGAACACGAAGGGUGCAAGCGUUAAUCGGAAUUACUGGGCGUAAAGCGCGCGUAGGCGGUGAGUUAAGUCUGCUGUGAAAUCCCCGGGCUCAACCUGGGAAUGGCAGUGGAUACUGGCUCGCUAGAGUGUGUCAGAGGAUGGUGGAAUUCCCGGUGUAGCGGUGAAAUGCGUAGAGAUCGGGAGGAACAUCAGUGGCGAAGGCGGCCAUCUGGGACAACACUGACGCUGAGGCACGAAAGCGUGGGGAGCAAACAGGAUUAGAUACCCCUGUAGUCCUGUCUCUUAUACA